AGAGUUUGAUCCUGGCUCAGGAUGAACGCUGGCGGCGUGCCUAAUACAUGCAAGUCGAACGAAGUAAUUUGGAUAAGUUUACUUAACUAAAUGACUUAGUGGCGAACGGGUGAGUAAUACAUAAAUAACCUGCCCCGAUGUCUGGAAUAACAGUUGGAAACGAUUGCUAAUGCCGGAUAUGAUAUUUGGAAGCAUUUCCUAAUAUUGAAAGAUGGGAUACAUCGCAACGGGAUGGAUUUAUGGCGCAUUAGUUAGUUGGUGAGGUAACGGCUCACCAAGACGAUGAUGCGUAGCCGGCCUGAGAGGGUGACCGGCCACACUGGGACUGAGACACGGCCCAGACUCCUACGGGAGGCAGCAGUGGGGAAUAUUGCACAAUGGGCGCAAGCCUGAUGCAGCGACGCCGCGUGGGGGAUGACGGCCUUCGGGUUGUAAACUCCUUUCGCCAGGGACGAAGCGUUAUAGUGACGGUACCUGGAUAAGAAGCACCGGCUAACUACGUGCCAGCAGCCGCGGUAAUACGUAGGGUGCAAGCGUUGUCCGGAAUUACUGGGCGUAAAGAGCUCGUAGGUGGUUUGUCACGCCGUCUGUGAAAGUCCAGCGCUUAACGCUGGGAUUGCAGGCGAUACGGGCUGACUUGAGUGCUGUAGGGGAGACUGGAAUUCCUGGUGUACCGGUGAAAUGCCCAAAUAUCAGGAGGAACACAAAUGGCAAAGGGCAGGCUCUGGGCAGUGACUGACGCUGAAGAACCAAAGCCUGGGG
rnacentral:rRNA from 1 species